AGUGAACGCUGGCGGUAGGCCUAACACAUGCAAGUCGAACGGCAGCACAGUAAGAGCUUGCUCUUACGGGUGGCGAGUGGCGGACGGGUGAGGAAUACAUCGGAAUCUACUUUUUCGUGGGGGAUAACGUAGGGAAACUUACGCUAAUACCGCAUACGACCUACGGGUGAAAGCAGGGGAUCUUCGGACCUUGCGCGAUUGAAUGAGCCGAUGUCGGAUUAGCUAGUUGGCGGGGUAAAGGCCCACCAAGGCGACGAUCCGUAGCUGGUCUGAGAGGAUGAUCAGCCACACUGGAACUGAGACACGGUCCAGACUCCUACGGGAGGCAGCAGUGGGGAAUAUUGGACAAUGGGCGCGAGCCUGAUCCAGCCAUACCGCGUGGGUGAAGAAGGCCUUCGGGUUGUAAAGCCCUUUUGUUGGGAAAGAAAAGCAGCAGGUUAAUACCCCGCUGUUCUGACGGUACCCGAAGAAUAAGCACCGGCUAACUUCGUG
rnacentral:rRNA from 1 species